CUUUAUGGACCAUAUAUCAACAAUUUGGCACAUUUUACAUAUGUAACACAAUAUGCAAGAUCUCUCCACUCCUGGGACAUUAAUAAAUUAAUAUUAACACAUACAUAUAUCAUAAAUUAUAUUUGAACAUACUGUAAACAAAACACAUUUCAAGUUUUAAACUAGUCAGGAAGACAGAAUCCAGCUACUAAUCUUCACACAAAUGUGUUUUUCGUUUUGUUUUUUUUCGCGUUUAUUGGUGAAGACGAAUAUUAAAUUGCUAGAUUUGAAAAUAAGCUAGUCGGCGGCGGCGGCUUUCCAGUGUAGAAUAUGAAGACUAACAGACAUAAAUGAGCAUUUAUUAGACAUUUGAAUAUAUGUGCCAAAUUAUGGUCUGAUCAAUUUAUACAUACUAAUUCGGUAUUUUAAAUAAUACGUUCAUGGGUGACAAGUGACUUUCCCAUGAAACAUUUUUUACCUUUAAUGCACCAGUUAAUUUGUAGAUCGAUAUAGUGUGAUUGUCAAUAACAUUUGUAAAGAGGGAUCUUAUUAAUCUUAUUAAUAUACUACAUACCAUGUUAAAUGAUGGUUUGCACAAUAAAUAGAUGCAGAUGGACUAUUUUUUUUUUUUUAGCUAUGAAAGAUACAAAAAAUACUAUCCAUUACCCAUUGGAGAUUUGUCCGACUUGGGCCUCGAUUUAAUGAUAUUGAAUAAGCUUUUGGAUGAUUUAAUAUUUUUUGGAUAAACAUUUCAAAUGAUUUGUCUACAGAAAUUGUUGCAGAUAAUUCAUUUGAAAAGUGAUUUAAAAAUAUCCAAAAAUACUAAAUGGGGGACUUGGUCAUUUUCAUAUUGGCUUUAUAAGAUUGGUGUCAUAUUUGUUCUUCAUAACUCCCUGCCUAGUCUAGUGAAUACAUUUCUACAUGGAAACAAAUCUAAAAGGAUGAAUGUUAAAGUAUAAUCCAUCCCCUUUCCCGCGUAUGUUUUGGAAGCUACACAGAGUUGUUUAAAAAGAAAAAAAAUAUAAAAAAAAAA